AUGGUACUCCCUCCGUCUGAAAAUACUUGUCAUCAAAAUGAAUAAAAAGGGAUGUAUCUAGAACUAAAAUACAUCUAGAUACAUCCCAUUUUAUUCAUUUUGAUGAUAAGUAUUUCCGGACGGAGAGAGUAGCAG
rfam:Triticum urartu cultivar G1812 contig911637, whole genome shotgun sequence.